rnacentral:rRNA from 1 species
CAAUAGCGUAUAUUAAAGUUGUUGCGGUUAAAAGCUCGUAGUUGGAUUUCUGUUGAGGGUGGGCAGUCCGCACUUUGUGCGAGUAUUUGUUUCAGCCUCGGCAUCCUCCUAAUCAGCGUAAUUGUACUUGAUUGUAUGAUACGUGAGUUAGGACUUUUACUUUGAGGAAAUUAGAGUGUUCACGGCAGGCGAUCGCCUUGAAUAUGUUAGCAUGGAAUAAUAAUAUAAGACCUCGGUUUUAUUUUGUUGGUUUCUAGAAGCGAGGUAAUGAUUAAUAGGGACAAUUGGGGGUAUUCGAAUUAACGCGUCAGAGGUGGAAUUCUUGGAUUGCGUUACGACGAACUACUGCGAAAGCAUUUACCAAGGAUGUUUUCAUUGAUCAAGAACGAAAGUCAGGGGAUCGAAGACGAUUAGAUACCAU